GGAGCAGCAGUAGGGAAUUUUUCACAAUGGGCGCAAGCCUUAUGAAGCAAUGCCGCGUGAACGAUGAAGGUCUUAUAGAUUGUACAGUUCUUUUAUAUGGGAAGAAACGCUAAGAUAGGAAAUGAUUUUAGUUUGACUGUACCAUUUGAAUAAGUAUCGGCUAACUAUGUGCCAGCAGCCGCGGUAAUACAUAGGAUGCAAGCGUUAUCCGGAUUUACUGGGCGUAAAACGAGCGCAGGCGGGUUUGUAAGUUUGGUAUUAAAUCUAGAUGCUUAACGUCUAGCUGUAUCAAAAACUGUAAACCUAGAGUGUAGUAGGGAGUUGGGGAACUCCAUGUGGAGCGGUAAAAUGCGUAGAUAUAUGGAAGAACACCGGUGGCGAAGGCGCCAACUUGGACUAUCACUGACGCUUAGGCUCGAAAGUGUGGGGAGCAAAUAGGAUUAGAUACCCUAGUAGUCCACACCGUAAACGAUCAUCAUUAAAUGUCGGCCCGAAUGGGUCGGUGUUGUAGCUAACGCAUUAAAUGAUGUGCCUGUGUAGCACAUUCGCAAGAAGUAACCCAAACGGAAUUGACGGGGACCCGCACAAGUGGUGGAGCAUGUUGCUUAAUUUGACAAUACACGUAGAACCUUACCUAGGUUUGACAUCUAUUGCGAUGYUAUAGAAAUAUAGUUGAGGUUA
rnacentral:rRNA from 1 species